CUUCCCGAGUGGCCUCGGGGGAGGAGGAUGAGGGGGCGCCGCGACGGCGUUUGUGGUGCUGCCGCUCUCAACUGACCGGGCCCCGCGCUCUCCGCCGCUUAGCCGGCGUUUCCCUCCGUGCCUCUCUUCGUGCGCCCCGCACCGCGCCGCCGCCCGGGGCGGGGGAGUCGCGGAGAGUGGAUGCCUAGCGGGCACCGCCGGGGCAGAGACCCGCGGACGCCAUGGGCUGCUGCAGCUCCGCUUCGCAGAGUUCCAAGCGAGAGUGGAAGCCUCUGGAAGACCACAGCUGCACAGAUGUACCAUGGCUGCUCUUAUUCAUUGUCUUCUGCAUAGGAAUGGGGUUUAUCUGUGGCUUUUCAAUAGCUACAGGAGCAGCUGCAAGACUGCUUUCGGGAUAUGACAGUUACGGAAAUAUUUGUGGACAGAAAAAUGUCAAAGUGGAGGGAAUAGUCAACAGUGGUCUGGACCUCACACACAAGAAAUAUGUAUUCUUCUUGGAUCCAUGCAACAUUGAUCUAGUACAUCAGAAGAUUAAGUCCAUUGCCUUGUGUGUAUCAGCUUGCCCAAGGAAAGAACUGAAAACUCUGGCUGAUAUACAGAAAUUUGCAGAAACUAAUGGAUCCACUCUGUGUAGCUAUGAACUACAGCCAUCAGAAUAUACUACAGACCCAAGGGCUGCCAAGUUAUGUCCUAAAUAUCCUGUUCCAGAGAGUGCACCUAUUCCAUUCUUCCAUCGCUGUGCUCCUGUGAACAUUUCCUGCUAUGCCAAGUUUGCAGAGGCCCUGAUCACCUUUGUCAGUGACAGUAGUGUCUUACACAGGCUGAUUAGUGGAGUUAUGACCAGCAAAGAGAUUAUAAUGGGACUUUGCUUGUUAUCACUAGUGUUGUCCAUGAUUUUGAUGGUUAUAAUAAGGUACAUUUCAAGAGUCCUUGUCUGGAUUUUAACAAUUCUUGUCAUUCUGGGAUCACUUGGUGGUACAGGAGUCCUGUGGUGGCUCUAUGCUAAACAACGAAUAUCUGCUGGUGCUCUUGAGACCCAGAUAGCCAAAGACAAUCUUCAGGCUCUCUUGAUCUAUGCCAUUGCAGCUACAGUCUUCACGGUUAUCUUGUUCUUGAUCAUGUUAGUUAUGCGCAAAAGAGUAGCUCUCACCAUUGCCUUGUUCCAUGUGGCUGGCAAGGUCUUCAUACACCUGCCGCUGUUAGUCUUCCAGCCAUUUUGGACUUUCUUUGUGCUUAUCCUCUUCUGGACAUACUGGAUCACAGUCCUGCUUUUUCUUGGUACUACAGGUAGUCCUGUCCCAAAUGAAGAAGGAUUUGUUGAAUUUCGGAUGGCAGGUCCUUUGAAAUACAUGUGGUGGUACCAUGUAGUGGGACUCAUCUGGAUCAGCGAGUUCAUCCUAGCCUGUCAGCAGAUGACAGUAGCAGGAGCUGUUGUGACAUACUAUUUUACAAGGGAAAAAAGAAAUCUGCCAUUUACUCCCAUUCUGGCAUCUGUUAAUCGCCUUGUUUGUUACCACCUAGGAACUGUAGCAAAGGGGUCUUUUAUUAUCACACUAGUGAAGAUACCCCGAAUGAUUCUUAUGUAUAUUCACACACAACUCAAAGGAAAGGAAAAUGCUUGUGCUCGCUGUAUGCUUAAAGCCUGCAUUUGCUGCCUUUGGUGUCUAGAAAAGUGCCUGACAUAUUUAAACCAGAAUGCAUAUACAGCCACAGCUAUCAACAGCACCAAUUUCUGCACCUCAGCAAAGGAUGCCUUUGUUAUCCUAGUGGAAAAUGCUUUGCGAGUGGCUGCCAUAAACACAGUUGGGGAUUUUAUGCUGUUUCUAGGAAAGGUCCUGAUUGUCUGCAGCACAGGUUUGGCUGGCAUUAUGUUGCUGAAUUACCAACGAGAUUACACCAUCUGGGUGCUGCCACUCAUCAUUGUCUGCCUCUUUGCAUUCCUGGUUGCUCACUGCUUCCUUUCCAUUUAUGAAAUGGUUGUUGAUGUCCUUUUCUUAUGUUUUGCCAUCGAUACAAAAUACAAUGAUGGGAGCCCUGGCAGGGAAUUCUACAUGGAUAAAGUUCUCAUGGAGUUUGUGGAGAAUAGUAGGAAAUCUAUGAAAGAAGCUGGCCGGGGAGGUGGAGCUGAGGGCAGAGAGCUAAAACCAAUGGCCUCUGGAGCAAGUUCAUCUUGAAACUAGCCAGCCAUAUUGGAACCCAUUGACAUUCCAAAACAGUAUAUAUAUACAUAUAUACAUACAUACAUAUAUAUAUAUAUAUAUUUAAAUAAACAGCCAAAAUCAGAGAAAAGGAACAGGGAUUUAAAACUUUUUUUAACAAUUAUUUUUGUGAAACAUGUGCUCUUUUCAUACGGGUGGCUUUUACAAGCAGUUUUAUCAUGUUCCAUUUCUUAAAUUAUUUGUUGUGGUCAUGGAAAUGUUGAUUCUUAUCUGCUUGGUAUUUUAAAAUCUGGAGGAAGUAUCAUUGUAAAGAUAAUCUGAAAUCAUGACUGGGUUUAGAGACAGAUUUCCCAUGACACUGCUAAUCUGCUGAGAGUUUUACUUGUUUAAUUUCUUUUAAACUUGUAUUAAAUUCAGGACAGUGACAUACAUGUACAGAAAACCUUAAAAAUCAAGAAAAGUCUCAAAUUUAUUUUUUCAAGAGGUGGUUUUAGCAAAAAUUCAUUCAGUUCAAAUGUGUUUGUAAGCAGUUACUUUACUUUACAGCCCUGGCAGGGCACAGUUUUGUUUACCAGUAUCAGAUAUCACAAUAACCAACUCCUCAGGUAUUUAGGUGUUUGGGAGCCCUUGCAUCUCCUGUUAAACAGAACCUACAAAAUGGGGACAGAUAAUUUUUAUAUGCAAUUAACUUCCUGCCUACCCUACUUUUACCCCUCAUACCCAUUGCCCUCUAUCCUUCCCUUGAGUUCAGUAGCCUCCUUCACACUUCAGCAGUGUUCCUUUGAAGGGUAUGGAUUCUCCAUACAGGCAAGUGAAAUAACAGAUUGUUAAAGCUCAGUCUUAGCCAUACUCAUGAUUAAUUCAUGACUAGAUUCAGAGAUGCUGAGGAUGGGAAGAGAAAUGAAUUGUACUGCUGUACAUAAAAAAGUACUGUAUGCUUCAUUUCAUCUAAUGAGAGAGCUCUGGGAGGUAUAAGAGAUCAUUCCUUGCCUGUUGUUUGAUUCAUAUCUGUACAUACUGUAGUGGGUGGCUAAAGCCAGAAAGGGCAGAGAAACAUUCCUUUGGAAGUGUAGCUGCCAGAAUAGUUAUCUGAAGUUAUUAAAUAAUGACAAGAGAACAUGCUUUUUUAUUAUUAUUAGAUACAUAAAUAUCUUUGCAGUCUGGAAGCUCACCAGAUAUGAAUGCUAAUAUUCAAUUAUUCAGCACAGUGAAAUGGUAAAUGCUUAACUGUAUUUGCUAAGAAUUAAUGAUCUGUCUAUGCUAUAUAUUCCUUUUGUUAACAUUUUUUUAAGAAAACUAUUUUUGUUAUUGUAAAGUUAAUAUUUCAGAGCAGAAUUUUUAAACUUAUUGCACUAAAUACAAGCUGUCUACAAAUAAUGAUGCCUCAAUGGUUCAAUCACUCCACUUCAGAAAAUCUCUUGAAAGAGUAAGAGCCUUUCUACAGAAGCUUUAUGAUGGAGUACAGAGGUAUGUCUAGGUAAAGACAUGCACAACGCAUGUAAUCAAGGUUUAGUAAGCAGUUUAACUGUGCUUCCUUUCAGACUAUCAGAUUUUUUAAUUGCUGCUGAAGGUUUAAAAAAUUAUGUAGUAUCAUUUAGCUAACUAGUGCUCUUAUCUUUUUGGCAAUAGUAAAACGUUUCACUUUUGCUUCCAGAAGUCAUUUGAUAAUUUAAAUUUGUUACUUUUUUUUUUUUUUCUGUAAGCCAGUUAAAACAAAUUCGUAUUACAGAUCCCAAACUAUCUGAAAGGUGGAAAAAUCAAGAUUCAUUUAGAAAGGAUAGCUUUUAGGGAUGCAAAGAGAAUUGAAUUAUCCAGUCCUGGAAGCACUUACUCAUUUAAGUGAACCAUAUCUGUAACUCUGCUAGCACUAGGAGGACUGUCUAAAUAUGGAAAUUGUAACAUACACAUCUGUGUAAGUGCUGACUGGACUUGAGACUCAGCCUGGGGAUUCAAACUGGAACAUAGGUGAACCGGAACAUCUCAGUGCAAGUUAGAGGUCAGACUUGCCCAGAAGAAACACUGGAGCAGCCUUACUUUUGUGAAGAGACAUUCCUGCAGUACCAGUGUCUAAGAUAGCAGUGGUACUCAACACUGGUAUUUGUGUAGAUCAGAGGGGUUUAGCAACACAAAUUUUAAAACUGGCUUAGAUGAAUCCUAGAAACUUCAAGGCUAAAAGACUUCUCAAGUACCCAGCUGCUUCCAGAGAAUCUAGUUUUCAUCUUGUUUGGAGGUUAUUGGAAAUGCUUAAUCAAAGAAGCCUUGUAUUCUGCUCAUUUUGAUAAAAAAUUUCUGCCAUGACUGGUUCCACAAGUUUGUGUUCUUCGCUCACUGGAAGUCCUGAGUGGGAACUGUUCUCUGUAAUUGCAACUAGGACUGCAGUUGGUAACAAAUUUUGUAUUUUUGUAUGACUUGACUGUGCACCAUUUUUAUAGCAGUUUAUCCUGUCUUAAAAAUAAAUUUGUUUAUUUACAUGGUGUUUAAAAGAUACAGGCAACACUUUUCUAUGGGUAGUUGUAAUGUUUAAGCGACAAAUCUAUAUCAUUACAAAGUUCUUAAUAAAAACAUGUGCAUCAUUCUUGAGUGUAUAUCCAGCAUGCAGAGCUUUUCAGUCCUGCCAAAAAAGGCAUUCUAUCCACACACAGGUUUUCCAGUGGCCCUUUAAAGCUUUGAAAUGACCUUUGAAGUUCAUUUGCAACCAAGCUACCCUCUUCCAGCUCUGUCUUGUGCACAGAGAUAAGCAGAAGCCAGAAUUCUGAAAAGACAACUUUUCAGGACAAAUUUAGACUGCUUUCCUUUCUUAGUGGGGAUAGUGGAGUGGGAGAACAUUUUGGCAUGUAAAUCCCAUACAUAAUUUUUGGCAGUAGGGGUGCUGGGGUCUGCCAGCUGUGAUGGAUUAAAUACUUUUUUUGACUGUUGGUUAUUAAAGCCAGUGUAUGGUCUGCUUUGUGGGAAGCAGUCUAGACUAAGUAGAGAGAGAUGCUGCACUGAGAAUAACAAUGCAGGAGGAGCAGACAAGACAGCUAAAACAGAGAAAUCAUCUCCUCAGAAUGUCCACUGAAUUGAGUAGUGCUCAAAGACUGGAGAUUUAGGCUGAUUUAGAAACAAUCAUUGGGAUUACUGCAUCCCAGCAUUUGUUUUCUGCAUCAUAGCCUCUGACCAGCUAGGUUUGAAACAGAAAAAAGCAUAGCAUUCCUACCAUUCCUUAAAUUGUUAAAUAUUUUUCCACAUUACUUUUUCUGUUUGGAAGUUGAAGAGCACCAUGUCAUCUUUCCUGCUUCUUCCAGCCCUGGAGAAUGAUUGUUUUUGUUGUUCUUUUGGGUCUCAUUUCAUACUACUCUCUGAGUAAAGGAGUGGCAAGUGGCAGUGUCUGCUCCCCUUUGUCCCUUAUCUCACCAUGUUCCCUUUUACCUUCCAGAGGCAAUGAUUCAGGAUAUCACCAGGACUGAAUGAGAGGGAGAGUAGGCACUAAGCUAAAGUUCUGAGAAACUACCCUAAGGAAAAUCUUCUGAACAGAUUUUAAAGGCUUGACAGUACUUGCAUUGUCAUAGUCCAUCAAAGCUUCAUCUGGAAAUGAAUUUUUCAUCCAUCCUACUCAUACUUCUAACAGGGCAAUCAAACCCUUGGACUGGCUUAGUGAUUGACAUUGAAUCAAGAUCAACUAACAAGUGCUCCUUUUUCCAGUGGAAUGCCACCUCCUUUGAGAAUGGGAAAAGUAAAUGUGACACUGUUUAUUGUUGUCUUGAAAACUUAAACUAUUUUAUACUGCAAGCUGUGAAUGCAGGAAGAGAAAAUAAAUUAACAGUGCUGAUCUAAUCUUAGAUUUUCUGUGUAAACUGACAUUGUGCCAGGAUACUGAUGCAAAACUGUAUUUUAGUCUAAGAAAUGUAUAGAUUUUUUAAUGUAUCAAAAUAAAGUUUUCCUUUUAAGUAAGA